GUGAAUCUGUUUUUCAUUCCGUGACCCUGUGGUGCCCUUCUCUACAGCUGUUCAUCCACAGACCUUCAAAGGAUGUGCCACCAGUCUCAGCUAUGCAGUAAACAGUCCCGGCAAAGGAUCUUUGUGCAGAUUUGUGAUUAAAGGCAAACAAGAUAAUGAGUCCCAGGAUCUCAUGCAUUCCUCAAUUCACAUGGCCCUGGAAACCUUUCAGUGUGGCAGUGGCUGUGGCAAUCACUCUGCCAACUGCAGAAUAAAGGGUCCUGUCUGGAAAUGCAAUUAUUUCCAAAUAAAAGGUUUU
rnacentral:lncRNA from 1 species